ensembl:misc_RNA 7SK 7SK RNA
GGAUGUGAGGCUGGCUAAGUGGGUGUCCGCUUCCUCCCUCACCACUUCACAUGUGUUCCUCUUAAGCUGUGUGCUCGGUCGAAGAGGACAACUUUCCCUGAUAGAGGAGGACUGCUCUUCAGUACAGGCAUGCAAAUAACUCCCUUUGGGAGGUGAUUAGGUCCUAACAGUGGAGCUCUGCUGAUUGGGGUUCAUGCCUUUUUC